AUUCGCCUCAUUUCACGCUUACAAACCCUAAUUCCUUCAUUCUUCUCUCUGGCGCUCCUCUCUUCAGCCGUCAAUAGAUCUUCAUAUUCACCAUCCGAAUGAAGGGUUUUCUUGACAUUCCAUCUUCAUUCGAUCUGUUUACUUCUCUAUAACAUAAAUGUCAUCUCUAAGAAGGACCAAACUACGUGUUUAGUUUACUAUAUAUAAACUGAAACUGACUGACCCAGCAUUAUUGAUCAUGCUUUCCUUCAACCUGGGCAUGUUAUCAACUAAUUUACAUUCCAUUACCAGAUGAGGACUCAUGUCACCAGAUUUUCAAGACUGAAAUGAGGAAAUCUGAUGUUACUAAAGAUGUCAAAUAGAAAGCUCUUGCUAGGUACACUCAAGGAUUUGGAGGUGUUGAUAUACCCGAGAUAUGUGAACGUGCCUGCGAGCAUGAAAUUAGAGACAUAGAAAGGGAAAGAAAGAGGAGUGAGGAUGAUUAUGAUGUGGCGGAGAUAAACGAAGGGGGAACUCAAUCCAAACGCAGUUAGAGAAGAGCCAUAUAUGAAGGCUAAAGAAUUCGAAUCGAAGAUAAUCGAUUUCGAAACUGCUAUUAGGAGGCCUUACUUUCAUGUUCGACCACUGAAUGCCGCAUAGCUUGAAAACUGGCAUCACUAUCUUAAUUUUAUCGAAGGAUGUGAUGAUUUCAAUAAGGUAAAAGUCAAGUGUUUGAUCUUCAUAUAUCUUCAUAUGUAUGAAUAUUUAUGUUUUGGUUUGUGUCUUUAGUUGUCCCAGUUAAUACAUUAACUUACAGUUAAGUAAUAUCUGCUGCUCAUAUGAUUAAUCGGCUAAAUUGGUUGGAUGAACUAUGAAGCAUGGGUGUCUCAUAAUAAGGCUAAGUACUUCAAACCCUAAUUUUGUGUGUUCUUACAUAAUCAUCUGUCCGUGAGGCAAGGUGGGUCCCUCUUUGAAUUUUUGAGGGGCCCCAUUCGAGUAUAUUUUUAGUGUUUCUUCUUAGCCCUCUCAUUUUUUUAAUAUUUUGAUUCAUCUAUACAUAACAGUCAUUAUUUUUUUGUAUACAUGAUGUAAAUUUUUUGAACCAGGUUGUGAAAUUAUACGAAAGAUGUUUAAUCGCAUGUGCUAACUACCCCGAGUAUUGGAUACGAUACGUUUUGUGUAAGGAAGCAAGCGGGAGCAUGGAUCUUGCCGAAAGUGCCCUUGCUCGUGCCACUCAAGUGUUUGUAAAGAGGCAACCAGAGAUUCAUUUGUUUGCUGCUCGAUUUAAAGAGCAGGGUGGAGAUAUCGCUGGUGCUCGUGCAUCUUACUAGCUUGUGCAUGCUGAAAUAUCUACCGGACUUCUUGAAGCAAUUAUCAAGCAUGCUAACAUGGAACAUUGCCUGGUUGCAUCAUACUACGGGUGGCCUGUGUCGACUACACACUGUAUUGUAGGAUCCAUGGUUGGGUUUGGCCUGGUGUAUGGUGGGCCCGGUGCGGUUUUCCGGAGCUCAUUAGCGAGGGUGACAUCAUCUUGGCUUAUAUCACCUAUUCUGGCGCGGUAGCAUCGUUUCUUGUGAAGGCUAUUGAGUAUUAUAGAAUAUGUCAGGGCUUAUUUUUUCUCUCUUAGGUGGGGUAACUGUGAAGACAAAAGAAUCAAAUGUGAAGGCAUGAUGCAAACGGGCUAAGCCCGACUAUUUGGGUAACUAUCAAAACGGGUUCAGGUUGAGUAAGAUAAUAUUUUGUUAUGCAGUUACAUAAUAAAUCAGAUUGCUUUGGGUUGGGCUGAUCUGGAACAUUUAUAUAUCCUAGGUUUGAAAUUUUACUUUUGGUGACUUCUAAUGUGUUUGACCCGUUUGGCCAUUUCCCUUUUUGAAGUUUUUUUACAUGGGAGAUUUAGCCAGCAACCAACUUAGCAUACUACAGUUGGUUUCAUAUUGUUCUUGUGGUGUUCUAGCUGGUUUGGUUGGCGGCUUACUUGGUUUAGGUGGCGGUUUUGUCAUGGGCCCACUCUUUUGAGCUUGGUGUACCUCCUCAGGGAAGUGGCUAAGGAAGUGGAACUAAUGAGUGGUGUAAACUCAAUGCUUCAGAGUAUGCGAAUAAAGAUUAUGGGAUUACGGAGAACCAAAAACUGGCAUCAUAGACUGCCUUUGUAGUGAUGGGAAGGCGGUUGGAGUGAAAGAUCAAGAUGAUCGGUUGAGGGUGAAUGGGUUUUUUUUCUGAGACAAAUGUGCCGAGCUAGAUCUGAAUCCAAACUUCUGCAUGGAAGAUGUGGGCGAGGACGAAGUGGUUCGGCUCAAUCCUUUAUGCACCAGAUGAAAACUUGGUCUGCCUAUUUUAUUGAGAAUUAUCAUUCUUGAAACCGCAACAAAUGGAGGUAUUGAUAAAAUCUAGGGUUUGCGAUUAAUUAUGUUCAAUGUGUAUUUUUUUUUUGUCAUCAAUGUUGUUAGAUAGUUGUUUAAUUGAUUGAUGUUCAGAUUUGUGCAGUUUUGGAACCUGUAUGUUUUCUUUGGUUCGGUUAUUGUCGACAACGUAAAUUAAGCGAGUUCGGAUAAAAGGUAAAGUUUAGGGUUUGUAAAAGAUAAUAUCUUUGAAUGUUGUUUGGUUUAAGACUCUAAAGUAUAAAGAUCAUUAUGUGUAUGGUGUUCCGGUAGUUAACUUUUGUGUAGAUGGUUUAUCUUGAGAAAGUAAUUCUGAUGAAAGCGAGGCGGCAUGUAGCUGAGUUUGUGGAGGUCUUCGUGCCUGAUGAGUCUCGGUUUUUGAAGGCAUACGGUGAGUUGCUGGAGAAUACUAGGUUGAAUGAAGAUUUGUGCAGUUUUGGAACCUAUAUGUUUCCUUUGGUUCGGUUAUUAUCGACAAAGUAAAUUAAGCGACUUCGGAUGAAAGUUAACUUUUGUGUGGAUGGUUUAUCUUGAGAAAGUAAUUCUGAUGAAAGCGAGGUGGCAUGUAGCUAAGUUUGUGAUGCUCUUCGUGGUAAUGUUGUCAAUCAGAGACGAUCUUCUUGGCAAAAUCAACCUAAUAAGUGAUUUAUGUCUGACAUAAGUGAGGAUCGAAGGGCUAUAAACAAUGGAUUACUUUGACAACCUUUGUAAAAGAGAUAUGUUUACAUAAUAAGGUGAUGCUAAUAUUUUUGAAUCAGAGAUAAUCCGUUUUUACUUCUUGUUAGAAAUGAUAGUUUUUAAAAUGACUCAUUUUGACCCAUAUUCACUUUGCUCCCAACCCAUUUUGACCCGGACUCAUUUUGCUCUCUACCAGUUUUGACCUGAAGCCAUUAUGACUAACCCUAUCAUAAGGAUAUCGCUGGAAAACGGACGUAAUAUUUGUUUUCCUAUAAUAUGAUUAACUUUGGCAAGGUGGUUAUGUGAUUAAGUUCAUGUGGACAUGAUAGGGAAUUGCUUUGCAAUAUUAGUAAUAGUACACAACACUAAUGUUACUUUUCAUUUGAGUUGUACAAGUUUAUAUAGGUUGGGGAAAAUAGUCAUGCUAUGUUACUUAAGUUCAACCCUACAACCACAUUCGGGCUGCUUAAUCGCCCUUAGGCGGUGAAGAAACCUGGUGUGAGACUAUUUGAGGCUGCAAAAACAGAAGCAUCAAAAUUGAAGGUUCUAUGGAUUGAUGGAAAAAAGUAUGGAUGUCUAAUCCUUGGAAGACGAAAUAUGUUUAGCAAUGGAGUAGGAGCAGUAGAGCGUUGCUACCGUGGAUGCAAAAUGACCUCAACCUUUCUCUUUCAAUAGAUGUAUCAACUCUCAAUGGAACUAGGUAGACUUUAAUCUUUGUAUUUGUUCAAAUCAAUUCAUUGUAAUUUAAUCUUUACAUAAGUUAUGAAACAUUUUGUUCAUUUCAAAAUUUUAUUCAAGUACUUGUAAACAAUAUAAUUGACUUGUG